GCUAGCAGCCAUAUCACCCUGCAGCUCACAACUGAUAACCCACAUAAGCUCAGCAGGUGUGAGUCUGGUCAGUAUCCAGAUGGGAGACCUCCUGGAAAAAAACUAAGGUUGCUGCUGGAA
rnacentral:rRNA from 1 species